CAGGGAGACAACAAAAUGUUUAAUAUUAUUAUUUUGUCACCUUAGGUCGAUCGGUAUCUCACGUUCUUAAUUUAUUAAGAAUUUCAUUUCCUAAGUUUUUCUAGGUCACACCCAUUAUUUUUCCUGGGCCAUUAGCUCAGGUGGUUAGAGCGCACCCCUGAUAAGGGUGAGGUCCCUGGUUCAAGUCCAGGAUGGCCCAUAUCUCUAUGUUGGGGGUAUAGCUCAGUUGGUAGAGCGCCUGCUUUGCAAGCAGGAUGUCAGCGGUUCGAGUCCGCUUACCUCCACUGAUUACCACCUCUUCCAUAAUUUGAAGAAAGGAAAUUUUUUGAGUUGUGAUCAAAUUCUGAACGAAUCUAGCUUCCUAAUGAAUCUAUUAAGAUGCUGGACUCAUUGAAUUAAUUUUCAUUGUUUUCAGAGAACCUUGACAACUGCAUAGAUUAUUUUAAAGACAAUAAGCAUCUUUAAUGAUGCAGAUUUAUUAUUUGUGCGAAUGCAUUAAUAACAAUUCUAUUAAGCUGAUGCUUCAAUUUAAUGAAGUUAUU
rnacentral:tRNA from 1 species